rnacentral:rRNA from 1 species
UACGGAGGGUGCAAGCGUUAAUCGGAAUUACUGGGCGUAAAGCGCGCGUAGGCGGUUAUUUAAGUCAGAUGUGAAAGCCCCGGGCUUAACCUGGGAAUUGCCUCUGAUACUGGGUAACUAGAGUACAGUAGAGGGAAGCGGAAUUCCUAGUGUAGCGGUGAAAUGCGUAGAUAUUAGGAGGAACACCAGUGGCGAAGGCGGCUAUCUGGACAAUUAUUGACGCUGAGAUACGAAAGCGUGGGGAGCGAACAGG